UUAAAGUGGUACGCGAGCUGGGUUUAGAACGUCGUGAGACAGUUCGGUCCCUAUCUGCCGUGGACGUUGGAGAUUUGAGGAAAGCUGCUCCUAGUACGAGAGGACCGGAGUGGACGAACCUCUGGUGUUCGGGUUGUGACGCCAGUCGCAUUGCCCGGUAGCUAUGUUCGGACAGGAUAACCGCUGAAAGCAUCUAAGCGGGAAGCCCCUUCCAAGAUGAGAUCUCCCUGGACCCUCGAGGUCCCUGAAGAGCCGUUCAAGACCAGGACGUUGAUAGGUCGGGUGUGUAAGCGCUGCGAGGCGUUGAGCUAACCGAUACUAAUUGCUCGU
rnacentral:rRNA from 1 species